UCUUCCCUCUUUCUUCGUGCUUAACACAUGCAAGUCGAACGGAAAGGCUCCUGCUUGCAGGGGUACUCGAGUGGCGAACGGGUGAGUAACACGUGGGUGAUCUGCCCUGCACUUCGGGAUAAGCCUGGGAAACUGGGUCUAAUACCGGAUAGGACGAUGGUUUGGAUGCCAUUGUGGAAAGUUUUUUCGGUGUGGGAUGAGCUCGCGGCCUAUCAGCUUGUUGGUGGGGUAAUGGCCUACCAAGGCGUCGACGGGUAGCCGGCCUGAGAGGGUGUACGGCCACAUUGGGACUGAGAUACGGCCCAGACUCCUACGGGAGGCAGCAGUGGGGAAUAUUGCACAAUGGGCGCAAGCCUGAUGCAGCGAAGCCGCGUGGGGGAUGACGGCCUUCGGGUUGUAAACUCCUUUCGCUAGGGACGAAGCGCAAGUGACGGUACCUGGAGAAGAAGCACCGGCUAACUACGUG
rnacentral:rRNA from 1 species